UACGCAGGGGGUUAGCGUUGCUCGGAAUCACUGGGCGUAAAGCGCACGUAGGCGGAUUGUUAAGUCAGGGGUGAAAUCCUGGAGCUCAACUCCAGAACUGCCUUUGAUACUGGCGAUCUUGAGUCCGGGAGAGGUGAGUGGAAGUGCGAGUGUAGAGGUGAAAUUCGUAGAUAUUCGCAAGAACACCAGUGGCGCAGGCGGCUCACUGGACCGGUACUGACGCUGAGGUGCGAAAGCGUGGGGAGCAAACAGG
rnacentral:rRNA from 1 species